rnacentral:lncRNA from 1 species
GACUAGGGUCUCAGGCUUUAGCUUGUUUGAUGUCACAGAAUCCACUGUGAGGUCACUCCUGUGCUGUGAAAGAAGAAAACAGCAAUUCAUUCUGAAAAAGUAUGGUUUUAUUUAUUUAAAAUGAGGGGAAGCUAAGCUGAAAUCAGCUUUGUCUCAUGCUCUGGCUCUUCUCCUGAUGGGCUUUAGAAAAAGUCAUUGUCUCCUUGAUCUCAGAUAUGAUGGCAGCAGUGAUCGCCAGCCCUUCCCCACCCUCUGUUGUCUGCAUGAUCAGUUCUCUGCUGCUUUCCUCCACAGCUUUAGACCUGAUGAUGCCCACCUCUGUAUCACCUGAAGGACAGCAGGCUUUGAGGUUCUUUAAUAAAGAACCGAUCCUGCUGGGUCUCUGACUUGCUUUGAACCCAAAUUACUGUCAUUGCAAUAGGGUCAGCUUUGAGCUUUCAGCAAAGAGCCAGUCCUGCUGAGUCUCUUAUUUUCAGAACCUGGGGCCACUGUGUGGUAGUGUGGGCUUUGAGAUUCUUUAGCAAUGAGCCAAAACUGCUGGAUCUCUUACUUGCAGAGCCUGGAACUACUGUGUAUGCAAUAUGGUAGGCUUUAAAAUUUAUUUAAAAAAAGAGAGAGCCAAUUGUGUGGUGCUUUUACUUGAAGCCCUGGAAAAAAGAGGCAGAGCCAUAAGCAAUGACGGCGCUACAAGGACGACGAGGUCCUUGUGUCCUGUAAACUUCUCUCCACAUGUUGGCUGGUUCUGAUGGUGUUGACAUGACCUGGGGCCUCCGGGAGCUGGAGGCAAAGCCCCCUGUGCUGGGCCCCGGCUCCGCUGUGCUCCUUGCCCUCCUCUCGUGCUGCCCUGGCUCAGGAAAGUGCAAUAUUCGCACAACGUGUUUCUCUCCCAUUGUGAAUCAGCAAAGUUCCUAACAGGCCUGGCAGGUGACUUGUUUCCUUUACUCAGAUUCAGCUACACAACCCAGGAAAGUGGCUCAGGUUAAGUUCCAGGAUCUAACGUCAGAAUUUAAUGAAUAAUAAGGAAAAUGGAGCUCUUUUUCCCCAGGAAGUUCUCAGUGAUGGGGCCAACUGAGCCAGUCAUUGCCCUGAUGGGGCCGAAAGCUACACUCUCCUGUCACCUCAGACCCCCGCUGGAUGCCAAUCCAUGGAGUGAGUGGACUCAAGAUCGCCCCUUAGCUAAGACAGCUUUUAUGUCUGAUCAUCAGGGAACACAAUUCAGAAGGAGGACUGAGUUCUUGAAGAACGUCACCAUGGGGAGUGUUCAUCUCGGGCUGCAAGAUACACCCUUCCGGUGAAGGGCAGCACAGAUGUAACUUUGAGGAUUUGUCCAGUCACAGCAAUGUUACUUCCAAGUGUAUGUGGCAGGAGUCCUGAGAGAAGCCAGGCUCCACGAUGCACAACAGAGUGUCCAGGGAAUGGGUGAUGAUCUUCCAUGUGCAGAUUCAAUGCCCUGCCACUGCUGGGGCUGCGACUCAUGCACGUCCCACAAAAGGAUUAUGAAGUUCCCCGCGCGUUCUCUUCAAGAACAGUGAUGCCAGAGUGGACCAUCUGGUGUGUAAGGCUGCAAGGUGGUACCCAGAGCCUGAGGCAAGCUGGUGAGAUGCCUAACACAGAAUUUAAAGCCACACUCUGAAAACAGCAGAACAGAUGGAAACAGUCUGUUCUCCACUUCAUCUUCAGUCCUAGUAACUAGACUAAAAAAGCUGCACUCUGUUCCUCAACCUCCGGCUCAACCAGAAGGAGGAAAUAACUAUUUCUGUUGGCAGGGUAGUUUCUAUAUUACUACAUCGCGUCGCCUUGAGAAGUGUUUUAAAAGCUGUGUUUCUUGUAUAUUGUUGAAUUUCUAAUAGAAAGGAAAAUCAUUUUGAGUCUCUGCACUGUACUUUUUAGGCAACAUUCUAACACCAAAAUGAGUUGUGGUGUUCAAGGCUCCUACUUGGACUAGAGCUGCCAGCAUUUCUUUGCUAGGUGAAGUGUGACGCGAAAUUAAAAAUUCACAAUAUUCUUUCUUGAGCUUAGGUUUCUUAGCAGAAUCUGAUUUUUAGAUAAUGAAUAUAAUAAUUGUCAACAGCAAAUUGACUGGAAGCACAGAGAAGUUGCAGUUUUUCCUUUAUCCUUAAGAGGUUCUUUUAUUCAUAAUAUUUAUGCAAUGACAGAAUGAACAGUUGAAUUACAUUAAAAUCAUUGAAAUGAUGGCUUUGUCUGUAGGACACCAGGGAAGUGAUUUGUAUUAUUUUACUGGUUGCUUUAAAAACUGUGUAGGCGUGUGUGGAGUGAUGAGAUUAGGAUGAACCUACGCCUCUAUGGUAGACAGGGGCUACAAGAGAGGAGAAUUUAAAUGUUAUCAGAAAAAAGACACAGAGAAAUGGUGAGAUGCUUUAAGGUCAGCAUGAACUAGAUACUGGCUCUUUUUCGAAAUGGAACGUGUACUGACAGACAUUGCCACUUACCCGAACUGAUGUCAAUAUUUUCCUUCUUCAACAGAAAUAUUAUGUGGGUAAUUUUGAGUAUUAUUUUAACCGUGGUCUGCAUUCCCGUGAUUGUUUUCUUCAUCACGGUGCAAGGAAAAUCUAAAAGUAAGUGGGUUGGAGCGAUGUGAAGGCUGUCAUUUGAGUUUGUCCAUUGUUGGGACCUGGUGGAGAAAGAUGGUGACCUGGAAGAGUAAGACGGUUGUCUAGAAGAGUUAAAUGAUCUGUACAGAAAAGAGACGGAAAGCUUGGUGAGUAGGAACGCGAAGGAAGGACCAUUGUUUGGUAGCGUUAUUUCAGCUGGGAAUCUUGGUUUCAUCUUGGUACUGAACGGAGUGUGGUUCUCAGUCCUUCUGUUGGGGACAAGAUGUUAUUUGCUCAGCACAAGAGAAGCCCUCAUGGACCCUCAUCCUUCAGCCCCCCUCAGUGAGGCUUCAGCGAGGAAUGAUUUAGGGCUCUUACUCUCGGUUCUACUGCCCGGAGGAACCUGGUUCCCAUAAUGGAGCAGGUGAAAGGUCCAACAGCAAAACGUGGGACCUCACCACGUGCACUGCAGCAAAAGAAGAACAAAUUAUCAAAAUAAGUUUAUUAGAAAGAAGGCAAAGUACGGAAAUAACCCAUUUUAGAAUAAGGGGAUAACUUAAAGAUAAUUUAAUUUAAACUUUCUUAAACAUUCUCCACUGUUUCCCCAGAGGUUAAUUAGGAGAGGUUUGGGAAAUACUAGAUUAAAUAAAGUUAAAAUUUUUUUACUUAAAAUAUUAACAGAGAUGUUAAAUGGUAAUAUGAAUUAUGAAUGUCUAAAAGCAUUUAAUUUCAAGGAAGAAUAUUUCAGAAAGUAUUAAAUUAAAAAUAUAUAAAUGUCCAAAUUUUAUAAAGUAAAUUAUGGUUUGAAAAAAUAAAAUGGAAUGAAUUAGAGGGUUUUAAAAAAUUUCCAUGGAUGGUUUUUGUUUUGUUCUAUGUGUGUUUCUAAUCUUCCCAAUUUCCAUAAUAAGAAUGUAUAAUAGUCUGAAAAAAAAGUUUAGAAAAAAUAGUCUUCUGAUUUUUCUCCAGUCAUCCUUUCCAUGCUCAUCACUUAAUCAGAUGUAAGGUGAGGAUCCCCCUUUAAGGAAAAUGGUGGAUCACUUGCAAGCCAAACAUCAUUUAAUGGAUGUUCUGCUGGGCCACGCUUCUCUACAGACUCUGACCUCCUUGCUGGGUCCCUGCCUUCUCCUUCCUUUGAGGAGACCCACCGGGAAGGAUCACCUGGGAACACUGGGAGGGCAAGGUGUGGAUGGGGAAGGACAGAAGCCCCUCUCCUCAAGACAGACCUGUUUCUCUCCUGUGGUUUGGUCCAGUUGUUUCACAUGACCAGCAGUGGCCAGUACAUUGCCUUUUCCUAUCCUGGACCACUUCCUCUGCAAUUAAAGUCUAUAGCAUGGAAACCAAAGAAUGGUAGCAUGCACGGGGAGCUAGAUUUACAGUCUUUCCACCCAAUGAGUGAAUAAAGCAACAAACAACAGUCCAUCUUCUUGUCACAGAAUCAUAGGAGGAGUCCCAAAAUGGUAGGAAUCCUAACAAUUUCUUAUUCUGGUAAAAUUCCUGGAGCAUAAAAGGCAUUUGAUUAAUGUUGCAUUGCAUUACAUAUUGAACCCAAUCCCUCGUUUUGCAUGUGAGAAAACUGAGGUCAGGAGGCAUUCUGAGGAUAACUUAGUCCUAGUGACAGACUUGAGAUGGCGACCCUGAACAUCCAACUUCCAGUCUUGUACUUCCUGACUCUGCCCUGGUGUCUGUCCCAGGCAGGGACAAUUCUGAGUUAAAAUACCAUGUUGGCAAUAUUUGUAUUCAACAAGUGCCAGUUGGGACUCUCUUCUUUCCUUGAUCUAAGUAAACCUGCCCUCAAAAUGCUGCUGCAUUUUCCUAAUCCCACUUCCUCCUCAAUCCAAUGCACCUGCCGUGGACCCAUACACUUGCAAGGACUGACUUGGUUGUCUAGAGUGGCAACUAGAAAAUAGGUGAAGUCAUACUCAAUAGUCACCCAGGGGGACAUGGCUUAGCAUUGGCACUCAUCACCCACUGAGGGAGGCUUCAUAUAUUUAAUUUGUCCAAUACGGCUAAAUAAUUCAUAUCAAGCAAAACUUAUUACAUAUUUUAGAAUAGUGAUGGAGUAAAUAGCGAUUGUUUCCCUAUCACUCUUAUUUCUAUAGGGAGAAAAAUUUCUGCAAUAAAUGAAAGACUCAAAACUCUUUAAAAGUUGUAAUGUUUGUUCUGGGAUUGAUCCUCUUACCCAAAGCAGAGCUUCUGCAGCAUCUUCCGAAAGUUUGAUUUCUGGGAAGUUUGGGGCAAAUCUCUCUCUGGCUUUGCCCUAGUUCUUUUUCUUCCAUUUUGGAGGACAUGAACAUCUUCCAGGGAGUAAGUUGCCUGACCCCACGGCUGGAUGUGUUUGGAAAGCUCCAAAUGGAUUAGAGCAUUUAUUUUCCCCCACCCUCUCUAAGCUUCUCCUUUUAUCCAACACAUCGUCUCCAAAAUUUUCCAACCUUUUUUUUUUUGCUAUCAGUGAUUUCAGAACCAACACUUGGAAAGUUUCUUCACUUCCAAUAUUUUCUUUACAUUUUUCCUACGGCCUUCAUAUUUUAGAUUAUUCAAAUGCUUUGUUUUCAUAGUCUAUCUCAAGUAAUCUACAAUGAACAUUUUUAAAAAACAUUUUUCCCCUCCCUUCUUGCCUCCCUUCCUUCCUUCCUUCCUCUCACCUGUUCUCAUCCACUGCCAUCCCAGGCAUCACAGCCUGGGUCAAUAUGAAAGAGCCAAUUUCCCCUUUAACCUCAUACUCAGUUGAAUACAUAUCACAUUUAAUUCAUGAUAUUAUUAUCUGUUUCCCAUGAACAGUGUUACCAUUUUGAUGCCUGGAUUCACAAUUUUAUAACUUUUAAGACAUAGUCAAAAUAGAUUUCUCCAUGGAACUUCCUGAGACCACUUACAAGAAUUCAGAGUGUGCUCUACUUUCCUUGCUAACUGUAGUAGCAGAGAUCUAGUAAUUAUUCACACUUGUGUGCCAAGUCUUUUUUUUCUGUCUCUUCCUUCUCUGUGUCUUCUGAAGUUCCAUGGUCUUUGCUAGAAAUGUAAUCAUCACAGUUGACUUUGGUCUGAAAAUUGGUAACUUCAUCUUCUUACUCUUCAUCAAUCUUUGUAAUACGGUUGUUUUUAAUUAAAGUAAAAUUACAGACAUUUCAGUACAAUGAGUUUCUACCAUGUUUUGACAAUCUCAAACAGUAAAUUCUGACAGACCUUUUUUAUUAUAGUCUUUGGCCUCCUGUUAUCACAUUUGCAUAGUCUUUGUCACCCAUAACAGUUUAUAUGUCCAACAUUGGUGGAAAUAUGAUUCAAAUCUCUGGAUGCUUUUUGAUGUUCCCAUUCAAACUCUGUCUGUCUCUUGUUCUUGAAAAAUAUAGAUUCUUUUCAUUUAUUUUAAAAUUUUUUAAUCUUUUUUUUUUUCCUAGAAGUCUGUGAAGGCUACAAGUCUGCUGGAGAAUGGAAUUGAUAUUGACAGUUUUCCUUGUCACUGUAGUAAUAAAUUCCACAGAAAGGGUCAUCAUAUUUUCAGAAUCACAAUGGAAACCACUACUAUGGUCAAAAUUUCAUCACCAUUGAGUCUAGUCUAGCUGCUUCUCUCUCUCUCUCUCUCCUUCCUUUACUGGAUUCUUUUACUGAUCUCCUCCCACUGCCUGUGAGGCCCCCGAUUCCUGCUAUCCACAUCCAUAUGCUUACCUUAGUGGGACCAGCUCUACUUUGGGGCGGUGGGUGAAAACAUGCUGUGGUGACCUUGGUGCUCUCCAGGAAGGCUUCAAGAGAGCUGGCCGUGGGGCAAUAAAUCAUCCCAGUUUGUAUGGGAUUAGCCUGGUUUUAGUAAUGAAAGUCAUGUGUCCCAAGAAACCCCUUUUCAUGAUGCAAAAACUCCCAGUUUUCUGUAAAGGGUGCAGAAGUUUGGAGGAAAACUAUAAAACCAAUACAGCAGCUCAAAAAAUAGGUCUGAAAGCAAUGCACUUUUUAAUAUCAAAACAAAGCAGCAUAAAUCAUCUGCUUCUUUAGUCACUGUCUCUGGCUUUUCCCCGACCAUGGCUGUCAGUAAUCAGGAUUUGCAGCUCACCGUGAUGAAUCACCAUUGUUGCAUCAGUCUGAGUGAUACGUCUUAAGUGAGCAAAUUAAAUGCCUGGUAUUCAUCAGCAUUGCCCACCCAUCUUUGACUUUGCUUGUAGAUUAGCUGUUGUGCAUUGUAUUGAGAUAGCGCUAAGAUUUUUUUGAAAAAAUUCUGGCUGAAAACUUCCCAGAUUUGAUGAAUAGUACAAACUCACAGAUCUAAAAAGCUCAACGAACCCACAGCAUAAGUAUCCUGAAGAAAACUACACAAAGUCGCACCAUAAUCAAACAGCUUAAAUCCAGUGAAAAAGGGAAAAUCUAAAAACCUGAAAGAGAAAAAAGAUGCAUUAUUCUUAUUCUGUAAUAUAAGCAGCAAGACUAAGUUUCUCUUCCCAUUCAGUUCACGGCACGAUUGAGUUGACCUGUGUGCCACGUCUCUACCCUUACAGUGAAAAAAACAUUCAGAUCAUUUCAAGUUUACAUGAUUCCUCUCCUAUGACACUCAUCAAUCUGCCUUGCACUCUCUGUGAUUCAGCAUUUGGGAUUCUCAUGAGCAGGCAAAGAGAAAAAAGAGGAAAGUGAACAAUCCACUCUAAUGCACUGUGAGCUCCUGGAGAAGGUUAGUGCUUUCAUUGCUCUUGAUUCACCACCCACACCUGAGUCCACGGCCUUUCAGAAUUGUAUCGACAUCAAUAGAAAGUAAGAGGAGAAGAAAAAUCUGACAACCCACCCAGACUCCUCUGCGGUGGAGCUAAAGCUGAUGUGUUUCUUUCCCAUGGAAGAAGGAGUGGUGUCCUCUGCUUCCUGGGCUGCUCCAGACUUUUUCCUUCUUUUCCACCCCUAGUGGUUCCACAGCAGGCUACAGACCAGCAGAAGGACGAUGUUAGGGUUGAUUUGUCCUCUCCAGUGGACACGAUGGUGACGGGAAUGCCCUCUCUCGGGAGUUCUGUCAUUUUCCUGUCUUUCCUUCUAGGCUUCAGCACUGGUUUGGAGACCUUCUGGCUUCCUUCCUGUUUAAUAAUGCAGCUUUCAGUCUGCACACUUGAGAUGAGGGGUCCCGCUACUGGAACUUCAGCUGUUUCUGAAACAGGCUUGUCAGUCGUCUCUGCUCCUGCGAGCACCAUACACAUGCUGCCCUCUGGAGAGAGACUGGCAGCUCCUGCUGACGUGAGGGAAUUACUUGCUUACAAACAUGUUAAGUCCUCACCUCAUAGUGGGGACACGCCGGAAGCACCCGCCCUGGGCAUGACGGCUCUGCUUCCUCCUGGAUCCAUGAAGGCUGCUCCUGCCGGUGUUGAGUCGAUCUGUCCUGAGUAUCCACAGCACCUGCUGUGGCUCCUAUUGUUAUCUCUGCCACUCCUGCUGCUGCCCCUUUGUCAGGCACUGUAGGUUUCGUGACUGCAAGAGUGUGUACAGUACAUCUGCGAGGACUGCUGGAUUCGUCCUCACCCCUCUAAGCAUAAUCAGAAGAGAUGACCUUAAAGAUCUCAGGGAUGAUGUGGGGUCUCCUGAUUCUGACCUGAUUUGGGUGCCUUUCUCCACGGAUCUUCAUGAUCUGUGCUGAAAAGGAAAAGAAAGAAAAAGGGGAAAUGAAU